rnacentral:rRNA from 1 species
UCUUUUGUCGGAGAACAAAACCCGGGACGUGUCCCGGACUGCGUGUAUCCGAAGAAAAAGCAUCGGCUAACUCCGUGCCAGCAGCCGCGGUAAUACGGAGGAUGCGAGCGUUAUCCGGAUUUAUUGGGUUUAAAGGGUGCGUAGGCGGUCCGUUAAGUCAGCGGUAAAAUUGCGGGGCUCAACCCCGUCGAGCCGUUGAAACUGGCAGACUUGAGUUGGCGAGAAGUACGCGGAAUGCGCGGUGUAGCGGUGAAAUGCAUAGAUAUCGCGCAGAACUCCGAUUGCGAAGGCAGCGUACCGGCGCCAGACUGACGCUGAGGCACGAAAGCGUGGGGAUCGAACAGGAUUAGAUACCCUGGUAGUCCACGCAGUAAACGAUGAAUGCUGGUUGUCCGGGUCGAAUGAG